UGUGGUGUUUUAGAGUGGUGUGAACCCAAAUUUUAUAAAAUUUAAAUGCCAUUUAAUUAAGAGGUCAAGUGGGCAAGUGGGUAGAAAAGCACUCAAGUACCUUGUGAUAUUUUGAAGAGUAUUGUGAGCAAUUCCCACACUAAGAACCGAUCACUCUCCAUCUCUCAUUCACUAUCAUCUUUUUUGAAGACCUCUCAAAGUGUUCUCUCCAUUUUUCAAGCCCAAGAACACCAAGGAAACUUUGAGGCUAAGUCUUGGUCUAGGAAGUAUUUUCCCUAAGUUGGUUAGGGUUUUUGAAAGGUUUUGAAGGAGUCAAAGCUUAUAGGAAGGUCCAAACCUUAAGCAAGAACACCAAAGAGGUAAGAGCAAAGGCAAGGCAGAGCAGUGAGCGCUGGAGUCUUCCUUGCAAAUGUACAUGUGGACCGACCUUUUGGGAAGCCUUUUUAUUUUUGGAAAAGUUGUGUAAUUUUCCUAAACUAGGCUCACUCUAAUCUUUAUAAAACAUGUUUGUAACUAAAUGUUAAGUAUGGCCAUACGACUUUUUAAAAACUUUUUUUUCUAUGGGUUUUUGAGACAUUUUGUUAAAUGAAAACAUUUAUAUUUCCGCAUUAUCGAGUCUUGAAAAUCCGGGUCGUUACACUUUGUUAGCUAUGUUUUAUUUUUGGAAAAGUCGUGUAAUUUUCCUAAACUA